UACGUAGGGUGCAAGCGUUGUCCGGAAUUAUUGGGCGUAAAGAGCUCGUAGGCGGUUUGUCGCGUCUGCUGUGAAAACUCGGGGCUUAACCCGGAAAGGUCAGCCGAUACUGCGGGGCUAGAGUGCAGAAGGGGCAACUGGAAUUCUCGGUGUAGCGGUGAAAUGCGUAGAUAUCGGGAGGAACACCAGUGGCGAAGGCGGCGACCUGGGCCAAUAUUGACGCUGAGGUGCGAAAGCGUGGGGAGCAAACAGG
rnacentral:rRNA from 1 species